rnacentral:rRNA from 1 species
UAGGGAAGUCUUCCACAAUGGGCGGAAAGCCUGAUGGAGCAACGCCGCGUGUGUGAUGAAGGGUUUCGGCUCGUAAAACACUGUUGUAAGAGAAGAAUGACAUUGAGAGUAACUGUUCAAUGUGUGACGGUAUCUUACCAGAAAGGAACGGCUAAAUACGUGCCAG